ACGUGCCAGAAUAGCUGCUUCGCUAUUUUAACAACCAUCUCAACUUGCAGCUUGGCCUGAAGACGGAUAAAGACGACAUCGAAUGUACCGGAGACAAGGAGUGCAACAUGUGUUGGGACGUUUGCAAGUUCUUCGACAAAGACUUCGAAGUUUGGAAACACAUGUGCACCGUGGAAGAAUUAUGUUUUCCUGGCUGCCAAGUGGCCUGCUCAUUCUGGCACAAGACGUCCCCAAAGCUAACCGGCAGCACAGUGAC
rnacentral:lncRNA from 1 species